GCGCCCUUAGCUCAGCUGGAUAGAGCGUCUGACUACGAAUCAGAAGGUCGGGGGUUCGAAUCCCUCAGGGCGCACCA
rnacentral:tRNA from 1 species